rnacentral:rRNA from 1 species
GGAAGGGGUGUAUUUAUUAGAUUAAAAACCAAUGCCCUUCGGGGCUCUCUGGUGAUUCAUAAUAACUUCUCGAAUCGCACGGCCUUGCGCCGGCGAUGGUUCAUUCAAAUUUCUGCCCUAUCGACUUUCGACGGCUGGGUCUUGGCCAGCCGUGGUGACAACGGGUAACGGAGGGUUAGGGCUCGACCCCGGAGAAGGAGCCUGAGAAACGGCUACUACAUCCAAGGAAGGCAGCAGGCGCGCAAAUUGCCCAAUCCCGACACGGGGAGGUAGUGACAAUAAAUACUGAUACAGGGCUCUUUCGGGUCUUGUAAUUGGAAUGAGUACAAUUUAAAUCCCUUAACGAGGAACAAUUGGAGGGCAAGUCUGGUGCCAGCAGCCGCGGUAAUUCCAGCUCCAAUAGCGUAUAUUAAAGUUGUUGAGGUUAAAAAGCUCGUAGUUGAACCUUGGGCCUAGCCGGCCGGUCCGCCUCACCGCGUGCACUGGCUCGGCUGGGUCUUUCCUUCUGGAGAACCGCAUGCCCUUCACUGGGUGUGCCGGGGAACCAGGACUUUUAC